GUCUUGUAAUUGGAAUGGAGUACAAUUUAAAUCCCUUAACGAGGAACAAUUCGGAGGGCAAGUCUGGUGCCAGCAGCCAGCGGUAAUUCCAGCUCCAAUAGCGUAUAUUAAAGUUGUUGCAGUUAAAAAGCUCGUAGUUGAACCUUGGGCCUGGCUGGCCGGUCCGCCUCACCGCGUGCAACUGGUCCGGCCGGGCCUUUCCUUCUGGGGAGCCGCAUGCCCUUCACUGGGUGUGUCGGGGAACCAGGACUUUUACUUUGAAAAAAUUAGAGUGUUCAAAGCAGGCUAUGCUCGAAUACAUUAGCAUGGAAUAAUAGA
rnacentral:rRNA from 1 species